AUCAUGAAUACAGUCGUGACAACACCUUUCAAAUGGGAAUUUCUGAUAGAGAUCGGUGAAUUAUACCAUAAGUUAACACAUGAGAAAUUGGUCAUGAACUUUAUUGUUUUGGAAAUGGUGAAUUUUAUAUGGACAAGACUCAUAUUUGUUUCUAUCAACCUAAUCAACGCAAACAAAUUAUGUCGCUUGUGGGAUUUGUUAAAGGAACAAAUGAUUCAGGAUGGUAGAAAGAAUAGCAGGUGCGUUGUAGUGAUCUUAUUUAUGUUAAUGGUGGGUGCUUAAACGCAAUGCCUUGUGAGAAUAUAUACCAUCCCAUCCCUGCUUGUGUAAUAUGUACCUUAUUAAAGUCAUAGUCAUGAUUAUAAAUUAUCACUCUUCUGAGAAGACCUCAAUGGUAUUUUAUUCCAAAGAAGCAGAUUAAAAUUAAUAAACUUGAAAGAAUUUGAAAGUUGUAAUGAAAUGGUAUCUCAUUUCUGUGCUUUUUAGAUCCUAUAGAGACAGUAUAAAGUGAAGAUGGAAUGCUGCAAACAGUUACUUUCAGUUGCAUGUCUAUAUAUGCAUUAUAU